UUUAUGGAGAGUUUGAUCCUGGCUCAGGACGAACGCUGGCGGCGUGCCUAAUACAUGCAAGUCGAGCGGACCAAUUAAGAGCUUGCUCUUAUGAGGUUAGCGGCGGACGGGUGAGUAACACGUGGGCAACCUGCCCUGUAGACUGGGAUAACUUCGGGAAACCGGAGCUAAUACCGGAUAAUCAGUGACACCACAUGGUGUC
rnacentral:rRNA from 1 species